UUAGCAGAAAUGGAAUAUAGCAUUCAUAAGCAUCAGAUGCUUAUGCUUAAGUGUAUAAUUAUGAGUGGGUGUGUUUUCAUAAGUUUAGAAUAAGCCCUUCAUAUCUACAUGGGAGCAGACACCCUCAUGGAGACCCAUAAGGAAUGUAUUUUCAGCUCGGCCGGAAGACUGAAGGAAAAAAGAAAGAAGAGUAAUCGGUGGUUGCUCCCUUAUAUUCUGUCUGCUUGUUGCUAGUUUACGUUACUAAGUGUGAGAUCCAUCAUUUUUAUCAGAUGACAGAUCAUACACAUUGUGUCACACGAAAAAGCAAUGGAGCAUGAAUCCCCGUCACCAAAGAAGCAAAAUCAUGACCAGCGACAGUAAUCUGCAACCUCACCACUAGAUGACACUAAAUCCUGCACACUGUAGCUUUAAGAAAAUAAGAUACAAAAAGACUCAGAAAUGUCUCCAGUGUUAGAAUCUAUGUAGCAAGUAUUUAAAUUGUAAACACUAUAAGAUUCAGUUUGGGGCUUCAUAUUAA